UUUCCGUAGGUGAACCUGCGGAAGGAUCAUUCAUAAUAAGUGUUUUAUGGCACUUUUUUAAAUCCAUAUCCACCUUGUGUGCAAUGUCAGGGUUGAUUUUUCUCUCGAUAGGAUCAGCCCCAAACAUCAACUAUAUCUCAACUCUUUGUCUGAAAAAUAUUAUGAAUAAAACAAUUCAAAAUACAACUUUCAACAACGGAUCUCUUGGCUCUC
rnacentral:misc_RNA from 1 species